rnacentral:rRNA from 1 species
CUUUAAGUCAGUAAGGGUUGUUGUAGACUACGACGUAGAUAGGUCAGGUGUGUAAGUGUAGUGAUACAUUGAGCUAACAGAUACUAAUUGCCCGAGAGGCUUAACUAUACAACGCUCAAG